rnacentral:rRNA from 1 species
GUGUCAGCAGCCGCGGUAAUACGAAGGGGGCUAGCGUUGCUCGGAAUUACUGGGCGUAAAGGGCGCGUAGGCGGACAUUUAAGUCAGGGGUGAAAUCCCGGGGCUCAACCUCGGAAUUGCCUUUGAUACUGGGUGUCUUGAGUAUGAGAGAGGUAUGUGGAACUCCGAGUGUAGAGGUGAAAUUCGUAGAUAUUCGGAAGAACACCAGUGGCGAAGGCGACAUACUGGCUCAUUACUGACGCUGAGGCGCGAAAGCGUGGGGAGCAAACAGGAUUAGAUACCCUGGUAGUCC